CAGCAGCCGCGGGAAUACGAAGGGGGCUAGCGUUGCUCGGAAUCACUGGGCGUAAAGGGUGCGUAGGCGGGUCUUUAAGUCAGGGGUGAAAUCCUGGAGCUCAACUCCAGAACUGCCUUUGAUACUGAAGAUCUUGAGUUCGGGAGAGGUGAGUGGAACUGCGAGUGUAGAGGUGAAAUUCGUAGAUAUUCGCAAGAACACCAGUGGCGAAGGCGGCUCACUGGCCCGAUACUGACGCAGAGGCACGAAAGCGUGGGGAGCAAACAGGAUUAGAUACCCCAGUAGUCCCUGUCUCUUAUAC
rnacentral:rRNA from 1 species